rnacentral:rRNA from 1 species
GGGUUGUGAGGUUAAGCGACUAAGCGUACACGGUGGAUGCCCUGGCAGUCAGAGGCGAUGAAGGACGUGCUAAUCUGCGAUAAGCGUCGGUAAGGUGAUAUGAACCGUUAUAACCGGCGAUUUCCGAAUGGGGAAACCCAGUGUGUUUCGACACACUAUCAUUAACUGAAUCCAUAGGUUAAUGAGGCGAACCGGGGGAACUGAAACAUCUAAGUACCCCGAGGAAAAGAAAUCAACCGAGAUUCCCCCAGUAGCGGCGAGCGAACGGGGAGCAGCCCAGAGCCUGAAUCAGUAUGUGUGUUAGUGGAAGCGUCUGGAAAGGCGCGCGAUACAGGGUGACAGCCCCGUACACAAAAAUGCACAUGCUGUGAGCUCGAUGAGUAGGGCGGGACACGUGGUAUCCUGUCUGAAUAUGGGGGGACCAUCCUCCAAGGCUAAAUACUCCUGACUGACCGAUAGUGAACCAGUACCGUGAGGGAAAGGCGAAAAGAACCCCGGCGAGGGGAGUGAAAAAGAACCUGAAACCGUGUACGUACAAGCAGUGGGAGCUCGCUUAGGCGUGUGACUGCGUACCUUUUGUAUAAUGGGUCAGCGACUUAUAUUCUGUAGCAAGGUUAACCGAAUAGGGGAGCCGAAGGGAAACCGAGUCUUAACUGGGCGUUAAGUUGCAGGGUAUAGACCCGAAACCCGGUGAUCUAGCCAUGGGCAGGUUGAAGGUUGGGUAACACUAACUGGAGGACCGAACCGACUAAUGUUGAAAAAUUAGCGGAUGACUUGUGGCUGGGGGUGAAAGGCCAAUCAAACCGGGAGAUAGCUGGUUCUCCCCGAAAGCUAUUUAGGUAGCGCCUCGUGAAUUCAUCUCCGGGGGUAGAGCACUGUUUCGGCAAGGGGGUCAUCCCGACUUACCAACCCGAUGCAAACUGCGAAUACCGGAGAAUGUUAUCACGGGAGACACACGGCGGGUGCUAACGUCCGUCGUGAAGAGGGAAACAACCCAGACCGCCAGCUAAGGUCCCAAAGUCAUGGUUAAGUGGGAAACGAUGUGGGAAGGCCCAGACAGCCAGGAUGUUGGCUUAGAAGCAGCCAUCAUUUAAAGAAAGCGUAAUAGCUCACUGGUCGAGUCGGCCUGCGCGGAAGAUGUAACGGGGCUAAACCAUGCACCGAAGCUGCGGCAGCGACGCUUAUGCGUUGUUGGGUAGGGGAGCGUUCUGUAAGCCUGCGAAGGUGUGCUGUGAGGCAUGCUGGAGGUAUCAGAAGUGCGAAUGCUGACAUAAGUAACGAUAAAGCGGGUGAAAAGCCCGCUCGCCGGAAGACCAAGGGUUCCUGUCCAACGUUAAUCGGGGCAGGGUGAGUCGACCCCUAAGGCGAGGCCGAAAGGCGUAGUCGAUGGGAAACAGGUUAAUAUUCCUGUACUUGGUGUUACUGCGAAGGGGGGACGGAGAAGGCUAUGUUGGCCGGGCGACGGUUGUCCCGGUUUAAGCGUGUAGGCUGGUUUUCCAGGCAAAUCCGGAAAAUCAAGGCUGAGGCGUGAUGACGAGGCACUACGGUGCUGAAGCAACAAAUGCCCUGCUUCCAGGAAAAGCCUCUAAGCAUCAGGUAACAUCAAAUCGUACCCCAAACCGACACAGGUGGUCAGGUAGAGAAUACCAAGGCGCUUGAGAGAACUCGGGUGAAGGAACUAGGCAAAAUGGUGCCGUAACUUCGGGAGAAGGCACGCUGAUAUGUAGGUGAAGUCCCUCGCGGAUGGAGCUGAAAUCAGUCGAAGAUACCAGCUGGCUGCAACUGUUUAUUAAAAACACAGCACUGUGCAAACACGAAAGUGGACGUAUACGGUGUGACGCCUGCCCGGUGCCGGAAGGUUAAUUGAUGGGGUUAGCGCAAGCGAAGCUCUUGAUCGAAGCCCCGGUAAACGGCGGCCGUAACUAUAACGGUCCUAAGGUAGCGAAAUUCCUUGUCGGGUAAGUUCCGACCUGCACGAAUGGCGUAAUGAUGGCCAGGCUGUCUCCACCCGAGACUCAGUGAAAUUGAACUCGCUGUGAAGAUGCAGUGUACCCGCGGCAAGACGGAAAGACCCCGUGAACCUUUACUAUAGCUUG